UUAUAUAAAGAACUAAGCAUAUCAAAACAUUAACAUUUGAACAAAGCCAAAAUAGUCAGAAUGUACAUUUCAAAGCGUUAGCACAAUUUUCUAACAACAAGAAAAGACAAGAAAAGAAGCAGACCUUAUUGCAGCAAAAUUCCCUUGUUUGAUAUAUUAGAACCUUAAAAAUGCGUAACAACAAAUUUUGACAAACCCAAAACGACAAAGGAUGAGCCCCCAACCGAAAAACAAAAGAAACUCAAAACGAGAAAGCACAGCCGCCAACCGAAACUCAACGAGGUACUUUACUCACCGAAACUUCGAUCCAGCGAUGGAACCUUGGUGGUGAUCUCGAACUCGACUUCGGAGCUGCUAUUUUUGAGCGAAGAAGGAGUUGUUUUUGCCACUGGUUUUAAUGGAGUUUCAAGUGUUUUGCGAGCAUAUUUACAGCAUUUCUAGGGCUGAUUCAGGGGCUCUUUAAUGGAUGGUUGACGGGGUAGAUCAAGGCUGGUUUCCUUUAUGUCUUCUGAAGAAGACUAUGACGGGGGCUAGGGUCGUGGGUUUGGCUGAAGAGGAAGAAGAACGCUGGAGAGGUUUCUGAGGUCUCGUUUUCACUGUUGGGUUCGGCGAGUUGGUAAGGGGAGGGUGGUUGGGAAGACGAGCUCGGGGUGGGGUCUGUUCUCUCGAUGAAUUGCGGCUCCCAGAUCAGCCUUCUGCUUCUCGUUGCAGCGUUCAAUUUUUGGUCUCCUCUUGUUUAGCUCCUCCCCUUUAGAUUUUUUAAUUAUUAUUUAUAGGUAUAGUGUAGGUCUAGGAAUAUUUUUGUGUAUUAAGCCCAUUGGUCCCUAGGUUUUAUUUGUUAAGUCCUUAGAGUCUCUUUUUUUAUUUUCUUUGUUAUUUCAAAGAAGAUUCU
rnacentral:lncRNA from 1 species